rnacentral:rRNA from 1 species
CAGUAAGUUAAUACCUUGCUGUUUUGACGUUACCAACAGAAUAAGCACCGGCUAACUUCGUGCCAGCAGCCGCGGUAAUACGAAGGGUGCAAGCGUUAAUCGGAAUUACUGGGCGUAAAGCGCGCGUAGGUGGUUCAGCAAGUUGGAUGUGAAAUCCCCGGGCUCAACCUGGGAACUGCAUCCAAAACUACUGAGCUAGAGUACGGUAGAGGGUGGUGGAAUUUCCUGUGUAGCGGUGAAAUGCGUAGAUAUAGGAAGGAACACCAGUGGCGAAGGCGACCACCUGG